rnacentral:rRNA from 1 species
UACGAAGGGGGGCUAGCGUUGCUCGGAAUGACUGGGCGUAAAGGGCGCGUAGGCGGUUUGCACAGUCAGGCGUGAAAUUCCUGGGCUUAACCUGGGGGCUGCGCUUGAUACGUGUGGACUGGAGUGCGGAAGAGGGUCGUGGAAUUCCCAGUGUAGAGGUGAAAUUCGUAGAUAUUGGGAGGAACACCAGUGGCGAAGGCGGCUACCUGGACCGGUUCUGACGCUGAGGCGCGAAAGCGUGGGUAGCAAACAGG